rnacentral:rRNA from 1 species
UACGAAGGGUGCAAGCGUUGCUCGGAAUUACUGGGCGUAAAGCGUGCGCAGGCGGUGAUGUAAGACAGAUGUGAAAUCCCCGGGCUCAACCUGGGAACUGCAUUUGUGACUGCAUCGCUGGAGUGCGGCAGAGGGGGAUGGAAUUCCGCGUGUAGCAGUGAAAUGCGUAGAUAUGCGGAGGAACACCGAUGGCGAAGGCAAUCCCCUGGGCCUGCACUGACGCUCAUGCACGAAAGCGUGGGGAGCAAACAGG